GACGAACGCUGGCGGUGUGCUUCACACAUGCAAGUCGAACGAGGUAGCAAUACCUAGUGGCGGACGGGUGAGUAACGCGUGGGAAUCUGCCUUUAGAUGGGGGAUAACGGGUCGAAAGACUCGCUAAUACCGCAUAUGACGAAAGUUGAAAGGACGUAAUCCGUCUAAAGAUGAGCUCGCGUCCGAUUAGCUAGUUGGUAGAGUAAAAGCCUACCAAGGCGACGAUCGGUAGCUGGUCUGAGAGGAUGAUCAGCCACAAUGGGACUAGAGACACGGCCCAUACUCCUACGGAGCAGCAGUGGGAAUUUACGCAAUGGGCGAAAGCCUGACGUAGUGACACCGCGUGAGCGAAGAAGCCC
rnacentral:rRNA from 1 species